rnacentral:rRNA from 1 species
AUGGCGCGAAUCCAGGCAGGCAUGGUCACGUCGGGUCUGCUUCGGCGUAGCGUGAGGCCGCUCUUGGGUUCGGGAUCCCGCUCUACGCCCAUCUCUUCUCCUCCCCAGUCCGAACACCCUCCCCUCUCUCCUCAACUCGUUCCCUUCUCCCCCGGCGCGCGUCGCCUCGCGCUUGCCGUCCACGCCCACGCCCACACUGUCAGGCUCGGACUCACGGAAUUCCUCCUCGUGAACAACUCGCUCAUCCGCGUCCACGCGGGUCUGCUCGGCCGCCUAUCCGACGUGCACCUUCUUCUGCACUCCUCGGGUACUGGGGAUCACGCUCAUCACCUCGGACGCGAGGGCGGGGCGAGUCGCCGGUGCUCAGUCACUGUUCGACGGAAUGCCUGCAAGGAAUGUUGUGCGCCCUGGUGA